GAUGAACGCUGGCGGCGUGCCUAAUACAUGCAAGUCGAGCGAACAGAUAAGGAGCUUGCUCCUUUGACGUUAGCGGCGGACGGGUGAGUAACACGUGGGUAACCUACCUAUAAGACUGGGAUAACUUCGGGAAACCGGAGCUAAUACCGGAUAACAUUUGGAACCGCAUGGUUCUAAAGUGAAAGAUGGUUUUGCUAUCACUUAUAGAUGGACCCGCGCCGUAUUAGCUAGUUGGUAAGGUAACGGCUUACCAAGGCGACGAUACGUAGCCGACCUGAGAGGGUGAUCGGCCACACUGGAACUGAGACACGGUCCAGACUCCUACGGGAGGCAGCAGUAGGGAAUCUUCCGCAAAAGGCGAAAGCCUGACGGAGCAACGCCGCGUGAGUGAUGAAGGGGUUCGGCUCGUAAAACUCUGUUAUUAGGGAAGAACAAAUGUGUAAGUAACUGUGCACGUCUUGACGGUACCUAAUCAGAAAGCCACGGCUAACUACGUG
rnacentral:rRNA from 1 species